GGGGAUUUGACUCAGUGGUAGAGCGCUUGCCUAGGAAGCGCAAGGUCCUGGGUUCGAUCCCCAGCCCCG
rnacentral:tRNA from 1 species